rnacentral:rRNA from 1 species
GGUUGAUCCUGCCAGUAGUCAUAUGCUUGUCACAAAGGCUAAGCCAUGCAUGUGUAAGAAUAAGCCCUAGAAUGGUGAAUCUGCGAAUGGCUCAUUAAAACAGUUAUUGUUUAUUUGAUGGUACUUACUACUUGGAUAACCGUAGUAAUUCUAGAGCUAAUACAUGCUUCAACCCCCGACUUCGGAAGGGGCGCAUUUAUUAGAUACAAACCAUUGGCCCUUCACGGGGUCUUUAAUUGGUGAGUCAUAAUAACUGAGCGAAUCGAAUGGCCUUGUGCUGUCGAUGCUUCAUUCAAAUUUCUGCCCUAUCAGCUUUCGAUGGUAGGAUCUUGGCCUACCAUGGCUAUAACGGGUAACGGGGAAUUAGGGUUCGAUUCCGGAGAGGGAGCUUGAGAAACGGCUACCACAUCCAAGGAUGGCAGCCGGCGCGCAAAUUACCCAAUCCCGACACGGGGAGGUAGUGACAUGAAAUAACAAUGCUGGGUUCGUUUGAAUCCGGCAAUUGGAAUGAGAGUAAUUUAAACCAAUUCUCGAGGAGCCAUUGGAGGGCAAGUCUGGUGCCAGCAGCCGCGGUAAUUCCAGCUCCAAUAGCGUAUAUUAAAGUUGUUGCAGUUAAAAAGCUCGUAGUCUGACCGAUUUGGCCUUUUGGCUGAGGCUGGUUUACUCUAGUCUCGGUUGAAUUUCCCGCGAUGCGGAGUCUCUCGUUUCUUGGCGGCUUUGGUGAAAGCCAGGGUCGUCAGGGCGGGUUGUUCUCUCUUUUGCGGGGGGUCAAAUUUGUACUUCGGAGGAACGUGCGUGCUUUUCACUAAGUGCGUAUUUUGGGAUUCCGAUAGUUUACUUUGAGAAAAAUAGAGUGUUCAAAGCAGGCGCUUCGCCACUUGAAUACGUUAGCAUGGGAUAAUGAAAUAGGACAUUGGUUCUCUAUUUCUGAUGGUUUGAAGGACCGAUGUAAUGAUUAAUAGGGACAGUUGGGGACAUUUAUAUUCCAUGGCUAGAGGUGAAAUUCUUGGAUUCAUGGAAGAUAAACUACUGCGAAAGCAUUUGUCAAAGAUGUUUUCAUUGAUCAAGAACGAAAGUUAGGGGAGCAAAGACGAUCAGAUACCGUCGUAGUCUUAACCAUAAACGAUGCCGACUAGGGAUCGGUGGGAGUUAGUUUCGAUGACUCCAUCGGCACCUCUAUGGGAAACCAAAGUCUUUGGGUUCCGGGGGGAGUAUGGUCGCAAGGCUGAAACUUAAAGGAAUUGACGGAAGGGCACCACCAGGAGUGGAGCCUGCGGCUUAAUUUGACCCAACACGGGAAAACUCACCAGGUCCAGACAUGGUAAGGAUUGACAGAUUGAGAGCUCUUUCUUGAUUCCAUGAAAGGUGGCGCAUGGCCGUUCUUAGUUGGUGGAGUGAUUUGUCUGGUUAAUUCCGAUAACGAACGAGACCUUUACCUGCUAACUAGUCU